GAUGAACGCUGGCGGCGUGCCUAAUACAUGCAAGUCGAGCGAACGGACGAGAAGCUUGCUUCUCUGAUGUUAGCGGCGGACGGGUGAGUAACACGUGGAUAACCUACCUAUAAGACUGGGAUAAAUUCGGGAAACCGGAGCUAAUACCGGAUGAUAUUUUGAACCGCAUGGUUCAAAAGUGAAGGACGGUCUUGCUGUCACUUAUAGAUGGAUCCGCGCUGCAUUAGCUAGUUGGUAAGGUAACGGCUUACCAAGGCAACGAUGCAUAGCCGACCUGAGAGGGUGAUCGGCCACACUGGAACUGAGACACGGUCCAGACUCCUACGGGAGGCAGCAGUAGGGAAUCUUCCGCAAUGGGCGAAAGCCUGACGGAGCAACGCCGCGUGAGUGAUGAAGGUCUUCGGAUCGUAAAACUCUGUUAUUAGGGAAGAACAUAUGUGUAAGUAACUGUGCACAUCUUGACGGUACCUAAUCAGAAAGCCACGGCUAACUACGUG
rnacentral:rRNA from 1 species